rnacentral:rRNA from 1 species
CAUAGCGUAAUGAAGCGAACCGGGGGAACUGAAACAUCUAAGUACCCCGAGGAAAAGAAAUCAACCGAGAUUCCCCCAGUAGCGGCGAGCGAACGGGGAGCAGCCCAGAGUCUGAAUCAGCAUGUGUGUUAGUGGAAGCGUCUGGAAAGUCGCACGAUACAGGGUGAAAGUCCCGUACACAAAAGUGCAUGUGUUGUGAACUCGAAGAGUAGGGCGGGACACGUGGUAUCCUGUCUGAAUAUGGGGGGACCAUCCUCCAAGGCUAAAUACUCCUGACUGACCGAUAGUGAACCAGUACCGUGAGGGAAAGGCGAAAAGAACCCCGGCGAGGGGAGUGAAAAAGAACCUGAAACCGUGUACGUACAAGCAGUGGGAGCACCCUUUGGGGUGUGACUGCGUACCUUUUGUAUAAUGGGUCAGCGACUUAUAUUCUGUAGCAAGGUUAACCGAAUAGGGGAGCCGAAGGGAAACCGAGUCUUAACUGGGCGUUAAGUUGCAGGGUAUAGACCCGAAACCCGGUGAUCUAGCCAUGGGCAGGUUGAAGGUUGGGUAACACUAACUGGAGGACCGAACCGACUAAUGUUGAAAAAUUAGCGGAUGACUUGUGGCUGGGGGUGAAAGGCCAAUCAAACCGGGAGAUAGCUGGUUCUCCCCGAAAGCU